rnacentral:lncRNA from 1 species
GGACAUAUGACACACCAUUUUAGUAGGAUAUAACAAACCAUCUCAGCAAGAUAUAUACCACAUGUUUCAAAAUGACAGCACACAAAUUUCAGCAGCCAUACUAGUAUAGAUUGUUCACACAAAAGACCAUAAGUUCAAGGCAAAGUAGUGAAAAUAGCAACAACACUAAAAGACCACAAGUUCAUAUCAAUAGUGUGUACAUAGCAUCACUGUCAAAAGGAAAAUAGCAACAACACUAAAAGAACAGCAACUACUCUUCUCUUCUCUUCAUCACCAAAUUGUUAGUGUUGGGCACUAGCUUUUGUUCCCAUUUGCCACAACAUAUGGAACUAUGCAGGCAUGCCUUGUUUCAACCCGUUUCAUAUCAGAUUAAACUUCUGAGAGAUACUACUCAUAGGUAACCAUCAAACAGUUCAAGAACUUAUACUCAUGGCUUAAACAUGUGAAAAGCACCUUACCAAGAGAUUAAAAACUAUACAAAGAACCAAUGGUCAUCAUCCAAUUCUUCUUGUCCCAAAGGAGCAACAUGGCCAUCAUUUACGUAAGCCUCAUCAUCAUUCGUAUCAUCAUCAGGUUCGAGUCUCUGCAUCACUAAAAGAACAACAACUACUCUUCACUUCUCUUCAUCACCAAACUGUUAGUGUUGGGCACUAGCUUUUGUUCUCAUUUGCCACAACAGAUGACACUAUGCAGGGGUGCCUUGUUUGAACCUGUUUCACAUCAGUUUAAACUUCAGGAGAGAUACUACUCGUAGGUAACCAUCAAAAAAGUUUAGGGUAUUAUAUUCAUGGCUUAAACAUGUGAAAAGCACCUUACCAAGAGAUUAAAAACUAUACAAAGAACCCCUGGUCAUCAUCCGAUUCUUCUUGUCCCAAAGGAGCAACAUGGCCAUCAUUUACAUAAGCCUCAUCAUCAUCUGUAUCAUCAUCAGAUUUGAACUGGACAUCUUCAAAUUCAAUAGGUGUUAUAUUUUCUAUGACCGAAACAUCAACGCUGGAUCCUUCGUCAUCAUACAUACCAGUAUUAAUGUCGCAUGGUAAAGCCAAAUUUAUCUAUACACUGUAAGGCAAAAUUUGGUUGACGGAACAAGAAAUAGUAUUGCUGUCACAUGGUAGUACAUGUGACAUGAGGGUAAAUAAGUUCAAUUUAGUAGUUGGCUAUACCGCAUCCCUUCCUCUCCCGCCUCGCAGUCAGACCCUCCCGACCUUCUCUACCUCGCAGCUUCUACCCCGGCCGGACGGGAUGGCGAGGUCGCCGGCAGCCCAACCCGGACCCCCAAGGCGCCUGAUGUGUCAAUCCCGGCGCCCAAGGUGCCGGAUCCGUCGUCGGCAGCAGGUGAUCCAUCAGAUUCAAGAUACUUGCUUGAUUCUUUACUUGAUUCAGUGUAUGAUACUUGUCAUGCAACUUAACUUUAGGAGUUUCAGUUGAAUGGUUGCAUCCUUAGAUGAAUUUUUAUAGAUGGUUUGAUUUGAAUGAUUCACUCAAUUAAAGCUCCUAUGUGUUUCUGCUUAUGUUCCAUGGCUUCUCAUUCAGUGUGUUUUUUGUUUAAUUUCUCUUUGGUUUGAGGUUCAGUAUUUAGAAUCAUGGUUCUGACUAAAAUGUUAGGAAAAGCUCCUGUACUGUUUGCUAAUGCAUAAAUAGCUUAGUUAGUGCUACUUUGAUUUUUUUGAGACGAUUUCUUUGUGUUUAAUUUAAGGGAUCAUUUGAUCAGGACAGGGAUGGCCAAAUCAAAGCCAGAGCAAUAUUACACUAAUCCCAUGGCCUGAAAAUUAUUCCAGAUCUAUUUUUACCUCUGUCACCCGUUCUUUAGAGGAUCUUCUGUCACUUGCAUUAUUUCUCUAAAGCGUGUCAUGUGAAAAUCUUGUUCUUAUGCCUUCCACAUUGUAGUCAAACUGAAUCUGAUAUAGUAAUUCUAAGAAGCAUUAUGUUAAAAAUAUAGAAUUUUAACCGAUUUUGGUAGAAGAUAAUUGAUUACCAAAGUCAUGACAGCCAAAGAAGAGACCACGUGUGCCUGAAUUUAGUGAACAGGGGCAUACUAAACGGUAUGAAGCAACCUAAAAUGUUUUGGAGCAACAUCACUAAGAAGACACCAUCUUAAGCCAAGGAGCCCGAGACAGCAGCUUUGCGAUUAUACAAGCACAUGAGCAGGGAACAGAUUGAACUGAACUGAAGUAUAUUAACGGCAUUCAUGUUCAUCAGAUUCAGUUUUGAAAUUUGCCUGGGUUUUCUAUCUUAUUAUUUCCCUGAACCAUCUUAUUAUUGCAGAUGUGGAAGAGCAUGAAAGUAGCUACCAAUAAAACAGCAAGCAAGGGAAAAUUAGUCUGCUACUUCCAAACUAAAAUCAGCAUACUUAUGUUGUAUGUAUAGCACAGUACUAAUGCCCAUGUGAUGUAUUUUGAAUCUAAAUUUGCUGCAGUUGCAAUGAAAAAUACAGAGGGAAACAUGAGGGGAAAAUCAUACUAUUGUUGUUCAGGUCGUUGGUCGCAAGGGAGACAGGCGAGCCAGUCCGGGCGGCGCUGAGCAGAGGGAGGGCUGACCAGGGGAGAGCUGCUGCAGGGCGUUGCACUGAAGCGCACGGGAGACCCGGGCAGGUGAGCAGGAUGGCAGGUCCGUUGGCAACGGUGUUGAGGUGUCGGGCAGUCCAGCCAAGCGCCCACGAGCAGGAUCGACCAGCGACGGGCGAAGAUCCAGGGAGGAGGAGGCCGACGGGCAGAAGGCGCCGAGCGACGGGUGGCGGAGCAAGGUUAGAGGGAGAGGGGAGCGGCAGGG